rnacentral:rRNA from 1 species
UACAGAGGGGGCAAGCGUUGUUCGGAAUUACUGGGCGUAAAGGGCGCGUAGGCGGCCUGCUAAGUCGAACGUGAAAUCCCCGAGCUCAACCCGGGAACUGCGUCCGAUACUGGUAGGCUUGAAUCCGGGAGAGGGAUGCGGAAUUCCCGGUGUAGCGGUGAAAUGCGCAGAUAUCGGGAGGAACACCAGCGGCGAAGGCGGCACUCUGGGCUGGUACUGACGCUGAGGAGCGAAAGCGUGGGUAGCAAACAGG